rnacentral:rRNA from 1 species
UACAGAGGUCCCAAGCGUUGUUCGGAUUCAUUGGGCGUAAAGGGUGCGUAGGCGGUUCGGCAAGUCGGAUGUGAAAUCUCCACGCUCAACGUGGAGGGGCCAUUCGAAACUGCCGUGACUCGAGUCCGGUAGGGGAGUGCGGAAUUCCCGGUGUAGCGGUGAAAUGCGCAGAUAUCGGGAGGAACACCAGUGGCGAAGGCGGCACUCUGGGCCGGAACUGACGCUGAGGAGCGAAAGCGUGGGGAGCGAACAGG